CCACACUCCUGCCCUGGCCACGCUCCUGCCCUGACGACCACACACCUGCCCUGACCACACUCCGGCCCUGACCACGCUCCUGCCCUGGCCACACUCCUGCCCUGGCCACGCUCCUGCCCUGACGACCACACACCUACCCUGACCACACUCCGGCCCUGGCCACACCCCUGCCCUGACCACACUCCGGCCCUGACGACCACACACCUGCCCUGAUGACCACACCCCUGUCCUGGCCACACCCCUGCCCUGACCACACUCCUGCCCUGACCACUCUCCUGCCCUGACCACACUCCUGCCCUGGCCACACUCUGUCCUGGCCACACUCCUGCCCUGGCCACACUCUGUCCUGGGCACACUCCUGCCCUGACCAUGCCCCUGCCCUGGCCACACUCCUGCCCUGACCACACUCCUGCCCUGACCAUGCUCCUGCCCUGACCACACUCCUGCCCUGGCCACACUCUCUGUCCUGGUCUGAUCCCCCCGCCGUGCUGCUGGAAAGGUCCAGGAGCUUCUGUGCUGCUGCUCCCGCGCCUGCUCACAGCUGCAGGUCCGGGAUGAUGGGGGCCGGGGGACAGCAGCAACGGGGGCCGGCGGGCAGACCCAGAGCUCCGUCCUUCAGUCCACGGUCACCCAGCACGCAGUCCCCAGAAGCCCACCGUGGGGCCAGCCUCGUCCUACGAGGGACACAGCCUUCCCUGCUUUCCCGCUGGCUGUACGGUGGCCCCCAGGCAGGAGGACUCGAUGCUGUGCGGCGCCGCGGGCCACCUCACCAGACCUUCUCGUCCCGGUGGGAGGACACAGUGGUCGUCGGGACUCACGUCCAGCACACGGCGGUGACAGAGGACAGACCUGCAGCGCCCCUCCCCCCGGCUCCCACCCCGGCUGUCCCUGUCUUCUGGGCCACCCUGAGGCCUCCUCACCUGCCCAUCUGCACCCACCGUCGGCGCCACCUUCCGAGGCCCCGCUCCUGAGGCCGCCUGCCACCAGCCCGCACGUCUGCGGCGCUGCUGCUGAACCCACACCCCCGACAGCCUGGCUCGCAGGCCCUCUGCCCUGCCCCGGCUGCCCAGCACGACACUCACACCACGUCCAACAGCAUCGACAGACGCCUGAGUUCCAGCCGGCCGCGUCCCUGCGGCUCCAACACCGAAAGGAAAUCGACGUCUCCACCAGGCCACCAAAAGCAUCUCCUCAGAGGCUGUGAAGGUCAGGGCCGUGCACCUGCUCACCACGGUCCUGGAAGGCCAGAGAUGCCACGGUUGGCUUGCGCACGGUCAGCACGUGGAGGGCCAGUGGUGAGGAGCUGGACGACGGGGACCCUGGGGACACUGCCCGCGAGGAGACACAGAGACGUCACAUCACAGCCUCCACAUGGCCCAGGGGCUGCCAUUCAACUCAGCCAGCGCAGCCCCGAGCCCGGAUGGGUCCAAACCCGACGACCCCGCCAUGGCCCGCCACUCAGCUAGAAGCUAGAGAGGGGCUCCGCCCGAAGCCCCCCGCCGGGCCCCCUCCCCACCAGAGAGCCGGAGGCCCGGGCCCAUGCUGCACGUCCGUCCGCGUCGCCAAGUCCUAGGUGAGCCUGUCCUGUGGCGCUACGGAGCCGCUCAGGGGGUCACCUCACGCCCGGCCCGGCCCCGCCCGAGGGGGCCUGCCUGGCGGGAGGGGCUCCGGCCACAAGGCCUGUGGUGUGAGCAGGCGGGGUCCUCGCUCCCAGGGGUGCUCCCAGUCCUGGCCCUUGGGUGCUUGUUUUCCGA
ensembl:lncRNA